GUGAGAUUGCCUUUGGCCUUAGCAGGAAAAGUGGAUGUGCACCCUGCUUUUUGUUUCUAGAAGGUUCUGUUGCUGUUCAGACUGCAAACAGCAGCAAAGAGCCCAGGCAUAUCUGUGUCUUUUGGCAGUUUUCUUUGAGCUACUGAUUUUAAGCAAGCCUGAAAGCAGGGACAAUAUAGGAGAGUCCAGGUGCCAGCUGCAGCUGAAAGCCAGUGUCAUCCACAGGCCAUCCCCCAGUGGUCAAUGGCAUCCUCUGCAUCUUUGGAAUGAUUUUGGAUCCAUAAAGCCAGGAUUGUUACCUUGCCUGGAGCAUUGCUCUCUAUUUAUUAGCCCUCAGGAAUUCACAACUGAGGAGCAGAUGGAGCAGAGGCCAGAACAUCAGACCCCAGAGGAGGUGACUCUAGUAUUCAUCAGGAAUACUAGACAGUACCUGAGCAUGACCAGUUCUAAAUCUAGGCUGAUUGUUGACAUGCAAACUACUGCCACAUGCCAGGAGUGGUAGACUGAGUAACGGCCCCCAACGAUAUCCGUGUCUGAAUCCCUGGAAGUUACCUAUGUAGCAUGAGGGACUUUGCGGAUGUGACUCAGCUAAGGACCUUGAGAGGGAGAGAUUAUCCUGGAUCGCCUGGGUGGGCCCCAGUGAAGUGACAGUGUCCUGUCGGAGGCAGAGGGAGAUCUGAUUGUGACAGCGGAAGCAGAGACUGGACUGAUGAGCUAUGAAGAUGGAGGAAGUGCUCUCAA